AGAAUAUUACAAAGAAUGCUAUUGGUAAUUUUUAAAUCAAAGAGUAAAUUAAAAAAAUUGGAUAAGGUUAAAGUGGACAAAUUGAUCGGAUACAUAACGUGGAUCUUGGGUUUGUUUUCGGAUAAAACGCGGACCCUAUCCAGCGUUAUACGGUCUGGGACGCGGAUCCUCGAUUUGACCCGUUUGGGUAACAAAUCAUUAAGAUUUUACUCCGAUAAUAUUCUCUUGUGCUGUUACACAAAAUAAUUUCGAAAAUCAUUAAGACAGUUGCCAAAACAAUCAACAGAAAAUCAACGCAAAAUAAUUGCCAAAUUAAAUCACCAAAUAUAAGGAACAUAACCAAUUUUGUAGGAACUGUUUUCAAUAAGAUCUAAUCUCAUUUAUUAUAUUUGCCUAAUUUCAAAAGUAUAAAAUAUUAUAUUCCUAUCAAAUGAAGCAUCUACAUAUACAUUUUUACAGGGGAUUUUUGCAAAAAGUCUUUUGGAUCCGGGUUUUACCCGGGUUUAACUCUAUUCGGAUCUAGAAUAAGAAAUUUAAGGAAGUUUGUAAUAAAAACGACAUUAAUUAUUAAUUAACACCUAAAUUAGAAAUAUAUAUAAUAUAUCUAAACUAACCAUAUUUGUUAUUUACCUUAACUACUUCUAACCAUAAUUAUUUAACUAUUUAUUUCUAUAUGGAAAGAAUAUGUGAUUAAAAUAAAUAUUUUGUAAAAGAUUGAUUUGGGGAAAAAUUGUUAUUACGAAAAUAAUUUGUUUUGUUAUAAAAAUUAAUAUUUGUUAUUUGUAAUUAAAUUACAUAAAUAGUAAUAAUAAUUUGUCUACACCAUCAAAUGAAAAUAGUUAGUUAUUUAUUUUUUUAUUUAAUAUUACGUCAUUUUUAAAAAAUAAAUUCAACAAUAUAAUGUCAAUGAGUUUAAUUCUAAAGAUUUGAAAAUAUUAAAAAGAUACUAACCAAACAUUAUCUAUCCUAAUUUGUUUCUAACAAUUUCGACACAAAUCUUUCGAAAAUUUAAUGUGAUCACAGUUUGUUACUAAAAUCUCGAUUAUAUGCCUAAAAUCUCGAGAAGAUCUUCCUUUAAAUCCGCAAAUUAUAAUUUUUGAAUUAAAUAAACUAACAAUACGAAUAUUCCUAAUAUAUUCGAGUACUAAUAAUCCUUAUUAUAGUAUAUUCCUUAUCUAAAUACUAAAUCUUUUAUUUUUAAUUCUAAUCAAAAUUUAUGAAAUCGGAAAUCAAUUAUGAUUUCUUAAACAUCCUUAAAUUUCGAAAUAAUCAACAAUUCGAAUAUGCUGAAAAAUCAUAACGAAAUAUCUUUAUUUACUUAAAUGUUUUAGUAAUCGUUAUAGCAAAAAAAUCAAUUCCAGCGCUAUUGGUUCUUUAAACUUUUUGAUUUACAUAGAUAUUUUGUAUUCCAUAAUUAACUCAUUAAAUUCUUUGAUUUAAAUAACUACAAUGUGAAAAUUAGUAUAUGUAAUAAAUAUAACAUAUAAUAUUUACGAGAUUUUCAUAUACUUGAUCCCCAACCCAAAUUGACGAAUAUAUUAUUUCUCAUAAAAUAUCUUUAAAAGAUUUUUUUUUGUUUCGUUUAGAUAUUAUUCAACAAACUUCCUAAAACAAAUGGAAAUAUCUUUAAUUAGCUUUCCUCAUUCAUAAAUCCCACCAUGCAUAUAGACGUUAUUCAGUUGAUAAUACAAAAUUGAAUAUAUUAGGAAUCAAAUAUUUAAUUUUCCAAUAUUUGCAAAAUUGUUUUAAUUUUUAGAUCAAACCUAAACUUCUCGAGUACUUUUUAUUCAUCUAUAUAAAAAAGAUAUUUUCAACCAUUGAUCCACAAUACUAAACGUUUUCGUAAUAGAGAUUUAUAUGGCUUCUUUUAAACAAUGUUCUUAGUACAUUUUAUAUUUCACGUUUGUUUUCUUUUAAAAAAUUAAUUGUCACCUACUUUUCUUAUGUUGCAGCUUUCGAUUUUAAGAUCUUUGGAAAUUAUGGACAUCAUCAACUCCGUCUCCAAAGAAACUAUCAAAUAAGGUAUGCAUUAAAAGGUUAGUUAGUCCUUCUUCUUAUCUUCAGAUACGAAUUUUUUUUAAUGUCCAGUAUUUUUUUACAUUUUCAUAAUUUCAUGUUUCUUCAUAAUGUUUGUAAAUGAUUUUUUUUUAUAGGCUAACAUAACAAGUCCAUUCUAUUAAAAUCUUUUUCUUUAACGUAAAAAGGAAAUGAAUUUGUUAAUAAAAUAAAGUUCUUAUUCUUAAUUUUCAUUAUUCUAAUGUUAUGUAUUUUAAUUGUUUUUAUGAUAUAUACUUUUACUAAAACCUGUGGAUCCGAGUUUUGGUUGGUAAGUGUAAUUUUUCUAAUCUUUUAAAACCUUUUACAACAAUUACAUGUUUUAUAUGGUUAACAAUCACAUCAUAUAUAUUUUAUUUUCUUAUCCAAUGUAUUUCAUGUUUAAUGUUUUCUAAUAUUUUUUAUUGAAACUUUUAAAUAGUUUCAAAAUAUUAUAAACAUUUAAACUUUAUUAAAAGUAAAAUAUUAUAAUUAUUUAAACAUUUAAAAAAGUUUAUUUUUAUAAAACGUUUUAAAUAUUUAUAAUAUUAUGAAUUUUAUAAAGUUUCAAAUAUUAAAUAGUUGAAUUUUAUAAUAAUUUAUAAGAAAUUUAAACAUUAUAAAUAUUUACAAAAGAUAAUAAUCGGGACGGUAUAUUACGGGUGAAAUCCUAGAUAUAACAAUCAAAAUACUAUUAUGAAUUUUGGGUCGAUAUUAAAUGAAGUUUCGAAUAUUAGAAAUAUUUGAAUUUUAUUGGAAAAUGACAAAAUGAUGUAGAUUUCACGGGACAGAGUUAUAUGGUCGGACGGAUUUGGGGUGGAUAUUAAUACAGUAUGAUAUACUACAGGUGAAAUCCUAUAAUUAACAAUCAAAAUAUAACAAUACAAUCUUAAACACUAAACAAAACUAAACAAAUAAUAUUAACAAAACAAAUAAAACUUCAAAUUUUAAAUCUUUAGUUAUAAAAUAUCGUGUGUACCAUACAUUUAAAUCAAACAAAACAAUAGCAUAUAUCUAUAGAUCAUCUUAAAAAAAAAUUAAUUUUAUUAUUAUUUAAUAAAAUUAUAGACCCGCGGUGUACCGCGGGUUAAUAUCUAGUAUUCUAUUAAUGAUUCUAUUAAAUACGGUUACGCAAAUAUAUUUUCAUAUUUACAAAAGUAAACCCUAAAAAUGAGAGUUGUAUCUGUAAUAGUAUAUAUAGUAAACUCGAUAAUCAACUUUCAUAACACAAUCCUUCAAAUCUUAACUUCAUUAAUUUCUUCUUUUUUUUGGUCAAAAAAAUGGCUGCAAAUCUUCCUAUCACGGAACUUGCUAACGUGAAACCUUUUCAAAACAAUCGUUCACUCAUAGACUCAACACACUCAAUUCACACGAGAGACAAUGAAAAUGAUUCUUGCUACUGUUUCUGUAAGUAUUUUUAACUUUCUAACUUCAAACCUUUCAUAUUUAAAAAGGAUUAUUGUUUUGCUUACUACAAUUGUGAAUUUUGUAGGCUACUUUGAUUCAUGCUACUAUAAAUAAACAACAGAUGAACAAGCUGCAAAGGUUUAUCAACUCUGGAGAGUGGAGAUUUAUUAAAAAUUUACUCUCUCAAAAUCUAUGGGAAAGUACAGAGCUACCAAACAUGGUUGCAAAAUGUCCCUCAUGAACACUACUAUUAUCACUCGGUGUUCUUCUCUUUCAGAUGAUGUUUUCUUCGAUUUGCAAACUAUCAAGAUAUUUUGAAUGAAUCACGAUUGAAUGCGAAUAUCUUUAUAGGUUUUUUUAUGUUUAGUUAUAGCUUUAUCUUGCAUAUAAUUUUUUUUCCUUAUAUCUUUAUCUUGCAGGAUCUUCAUCGUUGUUAUGAUAUACUACUUUUGAUUAAACAUACAAAGACUAAUAUGAAUAAACAACAGUAUAAAAGUCACAUGAGGCACUAACCUUUUACAUAUAUAUUUCUGGAUAUCUCCAAUGAGGCAAUGACUAUAUAACUCUUCCCUUCUCCAUAUUUUUAUGUUAAUAGAAUCGAAUGCUUCACAUUAGAACAUUGAAUAUUGUUAUUAACAUGUUAAACUUUUUAAAGUAACUCAAUAACAGUAAGUAAAGCUGCAAAUCUGAGAAACAAAAGCGUAAGAAUUGAGAUUUCACCAACCUUUUACAUAUAUAUUUUCUUAUAGCUACACUGACAAAAUCAUAGAGCUUCUCCCAUAGUCUCAUUGUCUGUAUCGCAAAUCAUCCUUCACAUUAAAUCGUUAAUACACAGGCAAGGAUGAUUUUGUUUUAAAAUACAAGAUCAAAACAAUGUGCCAUAUAUAAAGUAACGUAUCUUAAGCUCAAUAAAACCAGGGAACUCUGCAAACAUAAUCAACAAAAUUUUAAAAAUUAAGAAUCUUACUAACCUUUGACACAUAUAUUUAUGAAUAGCUAUAAUGACAAUAUCCCAUUGUCUCCUCCAUUGUCUGAAAUUACUUGCUAAUCAUCCUUCACUAGAAUACACAACCAAAAAAAAUUAAAAAUUCAAAACACAGUAUACACAAAAUAUACUCAAUUUAUUGCUUUCAAACUAUAAAAAGCUACGGAUACUCGAGAUUAACUGUAUACAGAGCUACUCUAUACAACAAUUCAAAACCACUGUAAAUCAAAUUCGUAUACAAACCUUAAAAAAAAUCUAUCAAAAACUAAUUUUAAAUCAGCCUUAAGAGAUCCGGCUUCUUGUAAAUCCUUGGCGAUUCUAUACUAUUAAAACAAAAAAUUUCAAAGAUUGGAAAUUGAAUCUGACAUAUACAAAAGCUGUACAAGUAUAAAUUUGAUUUAAUAAAUAGAUUACCUCUUCGUAGAAUUCACGAAUUGAAACCCACCAGAGGUAUAAUAGGAGACGAUGAUGUUCCUAUGAGAUUAUCGUAUUUGAUUCUGGAGAUCGAUCGAUGGUCUUCGUUAUUUUCACUAAAAUUCCUUUUCUCUUUUUUUGGUAAUAAGACAACAAAUUGUUCACAGCAAAUAUCUGUCCAAAUAC
rnacentral:lncRNA from 1 species